AUGAUCCUGAAGCUUCUCCAGGAACUCAAGCAGCGGGCUAGAGUAUGCGGGCAUGUCUUGUGCGCCGGCUACGACAUCGAGGUCAUCAACAGCGAUGCCCUGAGGCGGGAUGUGUCACAGGUUAAGUGGACCACCCCCAACCCCUCGGGUUCAACCGCCAUCGAUCUCAUCCAUGGCCCCGCCGCUGAUCUCCUCUGGCUCGCUGUCAACAAUUUGCCAUUCUACAUCGCCAUCGAGCCCCUUUUGUCAUUUCUGAAGGACACGUUCUGCUACGCUGGCUUGGGAUCCACAACUUCCAAGUCAGACCUCAUCGACGGCGACCACGAGGAGGGCACCCUCUCCGGCUCUUCCAGGGGGAAAGAGCCCAUCUGCUCUUCCAAGGGGAAAGCGCCCGUCUGCGACAUCAGGGAGGGCACCCUACAUCCAUGCUCUUCCAGGGGGAAGGAGCCCAUCUGCGACAACAUGGAGCACAUCCAGGGUCCAUGCUCUUCCCACAGGAAUGAGCCCAUCUGUGACAACGUAUCAUGUGGACUGUUUAUGCUAAAUUAUAUGGAAUAUUGGACAUCAGAUGAACUGUCAGACCAAUUCACCCAGCUAAAAGGAGGUCCCAUAUACCAUCAACCUGAUGAUGAAGAAACUUUAGCUAAUUCUGAUCUCGAGAUCCUGGAGAAUCCACCUGACAUAGUCAAAGACAAACGUCCCGCCCCAAUCACUAUCAUACCCACGGACCAACGUGAAUUACAUGCCGACCUCUGCAACUACAUCAUGUUGAUCGAUGAUGUCGGGUGUUUGGAGAAGGUAUGGGUCCGGAGCUCGACACCCAAUCCAAUGGGCUUAAGUCUUAAGAAACUUCAGUGCAUACUUAACAUGGAGCAACCUAUGGACAAUGAUUGCUUCAACACCGCCAUGCGUAUACUGGCAUGUGACGAGGGAGUAUUGUUCACAGACCCUCCUAUACACUACAUGGAUCUAAGAUUUUGUUCCACGAUGCUAGAGUCAACACGAGGUCAGGAGUUUUGCGAGAAGGAAACUAUCCAGACAUUGGCAGCAUUAUUUGAUAGCUGGCCUGGGACGGACAACGACAUAUCAUCGUGCAACAUGGAAUGUGUCUGGCUAUUUUGUUUUUCAUUUUAUGCUCUGGUGGAACGGAUGGGUAUGAGUUGA
rnacentral:rRNA from 1 species